GAGUUAUUAGCUCAGCUGGUUUAGAGCGCUACCUCGACAAGGUAGAGGUCACAGGUUCGAUCCCUGUAUGACUCA
rnacentral:tRNA from 1 species